rfam:Picea glauca, whole genome shotgun sequence.
ACAUGCCUACAACAUAGUGUUAAUGCAGGGAUCCCAUUAGAACUCUGCAGUUAAGCGUGCUCAGGCUAGAGUAGUAUUGGGAUGGGUGACCGCGUCGAGAAAUCCUAGUGUUUUACAUGCC